rnacentral:rRNA from 1 species
AUUGAACGCUGGCGGCAGGCCUAACACAUGCAAGUCGAGCGGAUGAAGGGAGCUUGCUCCUGGAUUCAGCGGCGGACGGGUGAGUAAUGCCUAGGAAUCUGCCUGGUAGUGGGGGAUAACGUCCGGAAACGGGCGCUAAUACCGCAUACGUCCUGAUGGAGAAAGUGGGGGAUCUUCGGACCUCACGCUAUCAUAUGAGCCUAGGUCGGAUUAGCUAGUUGGUGGGGUAAAGGCCUACCAAGGCGACGAUCCGUAACUGGUCUGAGAGGAUGAUCAGUCACACUGGAACUGAGGCACGGUCCAGACUCCUACGGGAGGCAGCAGUGGGGAAUAUUGGACAAUGGGCGAAAGCCUGAUCCAGCCAUGCCGCGUGUGUGAAGAAGGUCUUCGGAUUGUAAAGCACUUUAAGUUGGGAGGAAGGGCAGUAAGUUAAUACCUUGCUGUUUUGACGUUACCAACAGAAUAAGCACCGGCUAACUUCGUG